UACGUAGGGCGCAAGCGUUGUCCGGAAUCAUUGGGCGUAAAGCGCGCGUAGGUGGCCCGGUAAGUCCGCUCUGAAAGUCAAAGGCUCAACCUUUGAAAGCGGGUGGAUACUGCCAGGCUAGAGUCCGGAAGAGGCGAGUGGAAUUCCUGGUGUAGCGGUGGAGUGCGCAGAUAUCAGGAGGAACACCAACGGCGAAGGCAGCUCGCUGGGACGGUACUGACCACUGAGCGCGAAAGCGUGGGGAGGCGAACAGGAUAGACUACCCUGUAGCUCCAAGACCCAAGUCACGUCGUACCGUAAUACUCCGACCCGCCAUCCG
rnacentral:rRNA from 1 species